rnacentral:lncRNA from 1 species
CCAUGUGCAGCCCUCUGGUUCCUUCGACCUCCUCUUCUUUCAUCACUAUCUUCUCUAUCUCCACUAUGGUUGCUUGCACCAUCAGGAGGUGGACGAUGCCUUCUGAUUUCUGUCAUAAGAUUCUAAAGAUCUUGUGUCAACCUAUCUUGCUUUUCUUCCAUGUUUUGUCGGAGUUUGUAAAAUUGUGCUAUUGUAACAUGAUCUUUGAUGUCCAGUGGACCCAUCUUCCUGUAAGAUUAGCUGAAUACAAAUAAUUUGUAUUUGUGGAAUAUGAAAAUUUGGUGGCUCUCACAACUCACCUCUAUAACCACUGAAACUCUUAUGAAUUCCUCUGCUGCAGAUUAUAAAGAAACAAAUGUGUGGUGGUAACUGAAAGUGAUGGCGAGGCGAAUACAAGAACAGAGAGUACCGAUUACGAUGGUUUUUAUGUGGAGCUUGGUGGGGAGUAAUACACAAGGAAUGAAAUCUGAAUUCUAGUUGUUGUAAAGUUAAGUAACGAUCCAAACUAGAAGUUCUCUGCCUAGUGCUGACCACAAGAUAUGAAAGAAGUAAAUGAUCACACACACGCACAAAGAAAAUUCAGAUUUGAUGCAACAAGGAGUAUAAUUGGGAUGCAAGUGUUGCAAUCAGACCCAACCAAAAUAUUGCACCAAACAAAGAUAGCAAACUAGUUGUUCAACUCAAAACAAAAACUUUCAGCAAUUCUGCACUUGACAUAACCAGAUCUUGCAACUUUCUUUCUGAUUUUUUUUCUCUUUUCUUUCUUCUCCUUUUUUUGACACACUUUUCUUUUUUUUAUAACUAAACACAGUGAUCAGAUAUAAUACUUGCAAACUUGAUGAUAGAAACAAAGCACAACAAGAAACUAUAACUUGAUAGGAUCAAAGAUAACACAAAGGAUGAUAUAGGCUAUAUAGAUUUUUUGUGGGGAUUUUUAGAUAUAAAAGACGCACAAAGAACACGCGAAGGAUAAAUGAUAAGCAACUAAAACAAAGACUCUAAUGGACUGCGACUUAACCGACCUCACUAAAAUAACAGAUUGAAACAAAGGUCUAAGAAAUAUAUAUUUCUGGCUUUUUUUGGUUGAUAGGACGUUGCAAAAAUAUAUAUGUCGCUAGGGAUAAAAUUCCUACCGUGGUAAUAAAAGCUUUGGUACCAGAUGAUGUGACACGUUGUCCCGAUCUUAACGACGUAGGAAGAACACCGAUAACUAGUUGAAGAACAGCCGGAUAACCUGCUUCAAGCAGCGAUAACUAGUGCAACCUGGCAAAUAAAACUAGAAGCCAACCACCGUCUUUAACCGGUGACCUGAAUUGAGGAUUCACCCAACCACACUCUCAAAGAACCAACCAACACAGCCUACAAUCAAUCAAAGAAUACCCUGAAGGGAGUAGGAGCACCAAUUGGGAGCGGAUGAAACUGCCGACUAUGUAAUCCCGCGAGGAAAUCACAAGAGCAAGGGGUAGAGAUCACUCUCUAAAUAUUUGUUAGCACACAGCUAACAAAAGGGGUUCUGUAUUUCAAUUAUCAAAGUCCUGCAUUACA